GACGAACGCUGGCGGCGUGCUUAACACAUGCAAGUCGAACGGAAAGGCCUUUUCGGAGGGACUCGAGUGGCGUACGGGUGAGUAACACGUCGGUGAGCUGCCCUGCACUCCGGGAUAAGCCUGGGAAACUGGGUCUAAUACCGGAGAGGACCGCACUUUAGCGUGUGUGGUGGAAAGUGUUUUCGUUGUAGGAUGAGCACGCGGCCUAUCAGCUUGUUGGUGAGGUAAUGGCCUACCAAGGCGGCGACGGGUAACCGGACGGGGAGGUUGGUCGGCCACAGUGGGACUGGGAUUGAGCCCCGACUCCGACGGGUGGGAGCAGUAGGGGAUAUUGAACAAUGGGCGCAAGCCUGAUGCAGCGACGCCGAGUGGGGGAUGACGGCCUUCGGGUUGUAAAUGCCUUUCGCCAGGGACGGAGAGUUUUGUGACGGUACCGGGAGAAGAAGCACCGGCUAACUACGUG
rnacentral:rRNA from 1 species